CGUAGGGUGCAAGCGUUGUCCGGAAUUAUUGGGCGUAAAGAGCUCGUAGGCGGCUUGUCACGUCGACUGUGAAAUCCCGGGGCUUAACUUCGGGCGUGCAGUCGAUACGGGCUGGCUUGAGUGCGGUAGGGGAGACUGGAAUUCCUGGUGUAGCGGUGAAAUGCGCAGAUAUCAGGAGGAACACCGGUGGCGAAGGCGGGUCUCUGGGCCGUAACUGACGCUGAGGAGCGAAAGCGUGGGGAGCGAACAGGAUUAGAUACCCUGGUAGUCCACGCCGUAAACGUUGGGCGCUAGGUGUGGGGGUCUUUCCACGAUCUCCGUGCCGCAGCUAACGCAUUAAGCGCCCCGCCUGGGGAGUACGGCCGCAAGGCUA
rnacentral:rRNA from 1 species